CACAGAGGAGCUGCUGGGGGUGGCCGCAGUCCCUGCUCCCCAGCCCCGUGCUGAGACUGUGGCUGGCUGGCAAUUGAAGAGAAAAACACUUCCAGAUUAAAGAGAGAAGAAUCUCCCUGAACUGAACAAAUGUGUCACUUUUGAAUAAGGAUUCAUGAAAAGGCAGAGAAGGAGAAGAAAAAAAGAAUAAAGGACGAAAAAAAAAUGAAAGAUUUAGCUGUUGGAAUGUCUUUUGGUGAGCAUGAUGUUACACAAAUGCCAGGAUUUCUUUUGUUUUACCUUAAUCUAUUAUUUCACACUUUAUAAUUCUUAUGUAUGUUUACAUGAUGUUUUGUGGGGGAAUUCUCUUUGAACCACCUUCUUAUGUUUGAGUAGCUCCUCAGCCUUCUGCAUACCUGUGGUUUGUUCUUCCAUUUGUGGUGAUAUGGAAUGGGUUAGAGAAGAGGAUUGCCACAGGUGCUGGUCAAUAUGAUUGGUCAGAUGCAGUCCGAGAUGAAAAUGUAGGCACGUGAGAUAUGUUGUGUAGGGUGGUGGUUCAAGAAUUACAGCGAACAGUGUUUGAGCUACUUUCUUUAAGCUACCGUAGCAGACAUGUUUUAGAUGUGUCCAGUGCUUUGAUGUUAACUGAUGAAAGUUAGGAAAAGUUUUGCAACUAAUAUAGUAAGCUCUGCUGUACUGCAGCAGCCUGUUAGAGAGAGACCAGGAAUAACAGGAGCAGGGGGGUUCUUUGGCUGCAGCUGGACAGUACCGGCUGUGCUAUCUGGGCAGAGGUGGGAUGACUUUGUGAAUUUCAGCCAGUUGUGAGGAGCUUCAUACUGUAUGAAAAAUAAAUUCAUGCUGUUCACCUGCAAAAUGGAGGCAGAAGGGGUCUUUAAGUAGCAUACAGGGGUCUGCUAAUGAGCAAUAUUCUCUCUGGUAAGGUGAAAUAAAGAUUUCUGCCUAGAUGGCCGUAUAUUUUAGAUGAAAUAUUGCCCUCUGAGAAAUCACUAAGAGUUUUUCCUCUCUUUUGUCUUCCUCAGCAUUUUGAAAACCAAUGGGUAGUGAGUUUCACACUACAGUUGUGUUUCAUGAAAUAUCACAAGUUCUAAAAUUGUUCAUGUUAUUAUAUUUUUGUAAAUGAGCUAUUACUUUUGUUCUCAUAUUUCUUUUUACUUGAAGUAUUAUGUGCUGCUAUUACUAGUAUUCAAAUGUUAGAGUGGGCUCUUGUUAGCUCAUUUCCUGACUCUGUUGUUCUUAACACCUCAGCUGUAGAAUAUGAACUUUUUCAUUCAGUCUUUCAGCAUCUUGUAAUUUAUCCAUAAUGACAUUGUAAAAAUGCAGAGUGGUCUAAGUGUAUUACAAAUUUCUCCUAAAAUGUGUUUAUAUGUGUAGAAAUACGUGCACCUUUAUAAAAGAUUAAAUUCAAUAACAUUUAUAUAUAAUACUUCAUUACGCAUUGUAUUAUAUGGAAGAUUUAAUUAAAACCUAAGAAAAUUUAUUUGUAGAGCUAAAAAGUAUGAGUAUGUUCAAAUAGAUAUUGCAUGCAGUUAUCUGAGAAACAUAUUUGUUUAAUCUCUAUACGC